AGAAAAAGAAAAAAAGAAAAAGUCCGACGACAAACAGUAUUGGGAGCGCCGUCGGCCGUCGCAGCCCUCGCAAGGCGUUCGGUUCUCGGCGGCGGCCUGCCUAGAGAAGGCGGCUCGCCGCCUUGAAGGCUACGGGGAGAGCUGUGCGCUGCGGUGGCAAGACGCUUUUCCAUUUGAACCCAUCCGCCGGUUGUUUCCGCUGCAAAAUUGCGAUCUCCAACACAAGAGCUACACGAUCCAGGUUCUUCAGAUCGCGAUAGGUGAAUGCUGCUUCUCUCAUGGCAUCUGCUUUCUUCUCAGGCCAGUUAGGGAAGUGCUUGAGCACUGCCCUUUCAUCUACCAGCAUACCGAUAGUGGCAUUCAUAAAUGUGAGGAGAUAAAAUCGUCUGAAUGGAGGUAUUGUAGCUGUAUCUGGGACUGGGAGUGAUCAUUUUCAAUCAUUUGCAAUCAUUCUGAAUUCAAGCCACUCCCCAGGUAUUUUGCACGCGAAGAUGGAGUAAAUCCUUUCAUCCAGAAGAUGACUCAGCCUCUAAAGCACCCAUACGUGUUCCUUCAUUUAACAAACUUUUCCCCAAAACAUAAUCACAUCAGUGAAGGCAACUUGAUACUUGCCACGGUGAAAGUGAGUUCUACUCCAGCCAUUGGCAUUGCUGUCUUGUACUACUACUUAAGAUGGCAACCUCAUGGCAACUCGCCCAUCAGCAUCAGGCUUUUUCUGGUGUUUAAGUAUGGGCGGUGCUUAAUCCGACGUUUGUACUGGACUAAUGGUGGAUUGCUGUCAAGAGUACAGAAAAUAGACAGGAUUUCUUCACGGAAACCGACACCCGCCUUGAAUGGCAGGCCUGCUUAUUUCAAUAUUUCGGUGAGUUAUCACGUCACGCGGUGGUUUUGGAUCUUACUAGCCGUACCCAGGCAGUUUCUUUUUGUGCGUAUUCCUGGCUACCUGCUCUUCUUUGAUUCUAAGUUACUCCGUACUCCGUAUCGUUUUACCCAGCUAUUUUCUGUUGUUUCCACUCCACCUUCUCCCCUUUUGUGCCGUAGGAGCAGCCUCUCAUUUUGUUUGUGCGCUACAACAGCUAUCCAGAUCUCUCGGUAACUGAAGAAACUACCCACGUCAUACACCGCAUCAGGUAGCCCCGGAGAUCAACUACGCAAUUUCGCACGAUAUGUAUUUCGAAAUUUUGGCCUCGGCCAGCGCAAACCUGGUGGUGCCUUGCCUUCGAUCUUACAACGAUUUGGCCUUUUUUCUUUUGACAUGAACAAAACUGGCACCACAGGAGAUAACUCUAGCGUAUAUAUGUGUUGAUCUUAAUAAAACCGAGGCUGGUGCCGUAUGGAACAAAGUAACGAAAACAACCCCCAAAGGCCGAGACAAACAACAUAUGGUUAGCACCUAAAAAGAACAUAUGGUAAUGGUUAGUGUCUUUGUGAAUAGUGACGACGUGACGUUGCCACCGACACCAGUGAGCACUAACAUCCGGAAAAUAGUACUCCCUCCGAUUCUAAAUUCUUGAUUCAAAUUUGUCCAAAUAUGAAUGUAUCUAUUCUUAAAAAGCGUCUAGAUACAUGUAAUAUUUCGACAACAAUUUAGGAUCGGAGGAAGUAGUACAAUAAUACUAGGUCGAUAUGGAUCUAAUUUCUAAAAAAAAAAAUACUACCAAAGAUCAAGUUGUUGAGAAUAAUGACCAUUCUCGUAUAGAAUCAACUCGGAAAAUCAUGACAUGUAUACUAAAUCAAAUCAUCAUACGUGAACAUGGCAUGUGAUAUACUGCCGAGCAAUAAGCUAACACAUACCCCAUGUACAUAAAUAACGAAAGUGAAACUCAACAAAGAUGAGUAUCACGUACAGAAUGCUCGCAAAAAGCUUGGGGAACGCCAGUCGAGUCAAGCCAUCGAUGUUGGUCUUGUUGGUGUUGACGACAUCCAUGUGAUAAAGAAGUCAUCUCUAUCUCUAUCUCUACUGCUUAUAAAAGCAUCAACAUAUUCAUCCCAACGUCCACCAAACUAAGCGUACACGGAAAACUAAUAACCCCACAUUCAAUCUAACAAAACAUGGAUUAUAGGCUGAAAUUCCACCGGGCAGGAGAAUCUUUCAGCCCCACCGUGUUUUAUUCACGAAACGUUUUUUCUUUUUUCUUUUUCUCUGCUCACCCCGCCAGCCGACCCAGCCUCCUCCUCCUCCUCCUUCCCUUCCCCUGCGGGCGCCGCCGCCUGCGCAGGCUCGGAGAGCAGCCGCCUCCUCCCCCCGCGGCCUAACUGCACCGCCUCGCGCCGCCUCCUCUCUCCCUCCUUUCCUCACCCGCGGUCAACCCCUCGGCCAUGGGUUCCCUCAACUGCCUGAAGGCGCUGCUGGACGUGGAUAUCCCGGCGGGGUGCUGCGUGGUGGUUGGUGCUGGUCAAGGAGGUCUGGAUCCCCCCUAUGCCCAUCACCACCGCUGUUCCCACCUCCGGCGCCGCCCCACCCUCCUUCUCCGGUGCCCACCAUUCCUGCACCUAGAGAAGGAGCAUCGAGUAUUCCCUUCCCUACCCCAAUCCAUCUCCGCUAGCCACCGCCGACCCUUCCUCUGGCACCCCCAGCCCUCCAGAUCCAUCGCGCUCCAUCCCAUCUGCUCCACGCGCCGCCCGGGCUCCUGCUCUGGUGUCUCCCCAUCCCCCAAUCCAUGGCGCCACCAUAGUCCCGUACAAUUCUAGAGUCCAAGUCGUCCUCCACCUUCUCUGCAGGUAUGAACAACAGUUUUGAGAACUUUUCAGGUACCCUGCGCCCUCCAAGUAAUCAUUUGACAUUUCAAAGUGCUGAGCCAUCAGCUAUUGCCAGUAAGUUUGCGAUGUGUGAAUGAAUGUCCAUCGGUAUCCUAGAUAGAUCUCUGACGACAAACAAAACGAAAAUAAUACUCCCUCCGUCUCAUAUAUUUUGUAAAAUAUUCCAAUGCUCUAAUUAUGUAUAUGGUAGUAAAGCUCUUCUGUGAAGUGAUUUCAGUGAGCGACUUUCAUAUGGAAUGGGUCUGGUUGUUAAUUAUCUUACCUUAUAGCUUCGUUUCUGCAGACAGAAAGCACCUGGAUGUGAUUACUUGUGAAGGUCCACUCUAUUCAACAGUGGAAAGAGUAGUAUUCUUAGUUUUACCUUGUUAUGUUUUUUAGUAAUUUUUCUUCCAACAUACAUUAGUGUUUGUUGCCUUCCUGAGCUCUUGGAAAAUUUCAACAGAGAACUCAACAUAUGAUAGAUAGGGUCAUUAUAUAGUGUGAAAGGAAAAUUCAGAGGGUGCUCAACCAGAAAUGGAACUAUGAAGACGCAAAACUCUACACAGGGUUUACAUAAAAGGACGAGGAGGAGAAUGAUUAGAAGCCGGAGCAGUGGGAGAUUUGGAGCUGCUGAUCUGCUGCACGGGGCCCCGCCGUGGCCACCAUGGAUGAUGAGGCUGGAAUAGUAGCAAUGGAGCCGUUCGAAACCAAGAGCUGCGUCUCAAGGAACAUGGGCAUGGCCAUGUAGUCAACGUCCGCCGCCAUCUCAUCCUCAUGGUGAGGCACGCGACCAGGUCCUCAAUUCUGUCAUCCUCACGGUGGACGCUAUUGUUGUUCAGAAAUACUUUUGAUCAAAGGAACUCACCAUACUGAGGCAUCAACAUUGCCGAUCUCCACAGAAGGAAGCACAUGGCUUAGACAAGAUCCAAAGAACACUGCUUAUAACUGAACUUUCAACUUUUACAGCUAAAACAAGUUGAAGGGGCUGCAGAACUGAACUGGGUAUCACUGUUGGAUGUGGAACUGAUGGUGCUUAAACUCUCAGCCUUUUUUUCUAAAUGUUAUCCAUGUUCACCUGGCAUGACAGAGCAUGAACUUAUCGAAUAAUUCAGUGUCCAAGUGAACCAGAAUCUGUCACUCAUACCAAUCCAACACAGGCUGCAAUGCUUAAAGGUGCUUCAUCAGAGGUCAACAUGAGAAUUUCACUGGUAACACUACCAGCAGUUGCUGCUCAAGGCGUUUAGGAUUUGGAUGGUUGUGUCUUUUUUUUAGAUCACGUGUACGUAUUAAUGCUUCCUUCCAUUCGGAAACAUGGAGUUUCUAUACCUGAAAAUUUUGUUGGUCUUUCAGCAAGAUUCGUUCUAUUUCUCUGUAC